rnacentral:rRNA from 1 species
AGAACUUAGCAGAGAUGCUUUGGUGCCUUCGGGAACUCUGAGACAGGUGCUGCAUGGCUGUCGUCAGCUCGUGUUGUGAAAUGUUGGGUUAAGUCCCGCAACGAGCGCAACCCUUAUCCUUUGUUGCCAGCGGUCCGGCCGGGAACUCAAAGGAGACUGCCAGUGAUAAACUGGAGGAAGGUGGGGAUGACGUCAAGUCAUCAUGGCCCUUACGAGUAGGGCUACACACGUGCUACAAUGGCACAUACAAAGAGAAGCGACCUCGCGAGAGCAAGCGGACCUCAUAAAGUGCGUCGUAGUCCGGAUUGGAGUCUGCAACUCGACUCCAUGAAGUCGGAAUCGCUAGUAAUCGUAGAUCAGAAUGCUACGGUGAAUACGUUCCCGGGCCUUGUACACACCGCCCGUCACACCAUGGGAGUGGGUUGCAAAAGAAGUAGGUAGCUUAACCUUCGGGAGGGCGCUUACCACUUUGUGAUUCAUGACUGGGGUGAAGUCGUAACAAGGUAGGCGUAGCGAG